rnacentral:lncRNA from 1 species
AUGGAGGCGCCUUCUCCAAAGCCAGGAAGUGAAAAUGACGUCCAUGGGCCCGGCCGGUCACCCGGGCGGGGGAGGAGGACAGGUCCUGCCGGCCAGCAGGCUGCCCAGUGCCAGCCCCGGCCGCAGGCCCGCGGGCCCCCUGGUCUCUGGCCGUCACCGUCCCUCGGUUCAGUGGGCCCGGCUGGGCCUCGGCCACCCCGGCACAGGCGGCAGGGCUGCCAGGAGCCAUGUGGUGCUGGGGGAAGGCCCUGCUGCCAGCCCCGGAGUACGAGGAAAAUGCUACUUUUGUCUCCUGCUCUCAUCUGGCACUGGCUGCCCGGGGAGGGGGGGCAGAGGCGGCCGCUGCAGCUCGGCCCCGCCCACCGGGAAUUUUUGAAAGAUGCUCGUGGGUGCGGGAGGAUGGCAGACGUGGCAGUGGCGGGUGGGCCGGGCCCCCAAACCCACCACCAAAAAGGAGGAGGCUGGCCGGGCGGGAGAGGGAGGAGGAAGUCGGCGUCUGGCCACUCAGUGGCCUGCCAGGGAGGACAUGGGGAGUGGCCGCCUGGGCCUGGCCAAGGCGCCUGCACCCCGUGGACGGGCAGCGUGGCCUGGACGCCAUGCUGUGGGCGCCUGCCUGACCGGGCUGCUCUGAGGGGCUGGGCGUCCGGGCGGCCUGGCUCACUCCAGGGACAGAGGCCACAUUGUUCCCACGCCAGGCUCAGCAGGCGGCAGCCAGCGCCCUGGCCGUUUCUCCAGGGUGAGGCCAGAGACCCCACCCUGAAAGCUGCCCUGGCCGGGGCCCUGGCAGUGAGCCCCCUUCUAAUGCCUGUGGAGGCUGGCGCUCUUAUAGCCGGGAACCCAGGCUGCAGGUGUGAAUCUGGCCCUGUGUCCGACUGGCCACUUCACCAUGAGCAAGUCUGCCUCAGUUUCCCCAUCUAUAGAAAGGGGAUAAUGGCUCCUCCCACUCAGGGCUGCUGGAGUGGCAGAAUUAACAUGCACAGAGCCCCAAGCCCCAUGCAGCCACCCAGUCAGCGCUCGACGCCAAGGAGUCCGAGAGUGGCCAGGCAGCCGCGGUGGACAGGGCGUCGGGGUGGAGUCCAGGCCCAUCACCCUCCCCUCUCAGACCCUCACAAAUCCUUGCCUUUCACCAAAACCAAACCUUGCCACUACCUCAGGGAAGCAUCCCCGUUCUCUGGCCCUACAACUGGGGCUGGCAGGCCUGGGGUUUCACUGUGGCUCUUUCAUUUGGAGACAAAAUAUCAGACCCCAUUGCUCUCUCCUGCGGGCAUCAGGCUGGGUCUGCUGGGUCACCUGUUGGUCCAGCUCUCCCUUCUCACCCUCUAUGUGACCGGGAGCUGCAGCAGUGACCACUGGGGUGUCCUUGUGUGA